rnacentral:rRNA from 1 species
UAGGGAAUCUUCGGCAAUGGGGGCAACCCUGACCGAGCAACGCCGCGUGAGUGAAGAAGGUUUUCGGAUCGUAAAGCUCUGUUGUAAGUCAAGAACGGGUGUGAGAGUGGAAAGUUCACACUGUGACGGUAGCUUACCAGAAAGGGACGGCUAACUACGUGCCAGCAGCCGCGGUAAUACGUAGGUCCCGAGCGUUGUCCGGAUUUAUUGGGCGUAAAGCGAGCGCAGGCGGUUUGAUAAGUCUGAAGUUAAAGGCUGUGGCUCAACCAUAGUUCGCUUUGGAAACUGUCAAACUUGAGUGCAGAAGGGGAGAGUGGAAUUCCAUGUGUAGCGGUGAAAUGCGUAGAUAUAUGGAGGAACACCGGUGGCGAAAGCGGCUCUCUGGUCUGUAACUGACGCUGAGGCUCGAAAGCGUGGGGAGCGAACAGGAUUAGAUACCCUGGUAGUCCACGCCGUAAACGAUGAGUGCUAGGUGUUGGAUCCUUUCCG